UGUUUCAGAGAAGGCGGGUGGCGCUCUUGUAAUUGGAAAAGCUCCGCGAUGUGACAAGACGCUUUGGCGAACACCGCAGAGAUUGAUUGCGUGAGAGGGAUUUGAGUGGGUGCAACCGACCAAGAGAAUCUUCCGGUUACUGUCUUUCAGGCACACGUACCUUCGCGGUAAAUCGCACCACAUCUUAUCUUCGUUUAGGCUACUCUCUCUGCCCAUUCGGCGUAUUUCACUCGGAUAACUUCUCUCUAAAGGAAAAUAUUGUUUAUGGUUUUGACCGAAGAUUUCAAGAUGUCUCGCACCGACGAGGUUCACCGCAUAACGGAGAAUGUCUACAAGUCCAUCAUGGAACAGUUCAACCCCUGCUUGCGGAACUUCGUUGCCAUGGGGAAGAGCUAUGAGAAGGCCCUAUCCAAUGUGACGUUUGCUGCUAAGGGCUACUUUGAUGCCCUGGUGAGGAUGGGAGAGCUAGCCAGUGAGAGCCAGGGAUCCAAGGACAUGGGUGAGUAGUAGCCAAUCAGCUGUCAGGAUGUUGUGUACCUAAAGGGGUAUUCAGUGCUGGCCAAUGCUUGUCUUAGUGUUUGUACUGUAAGUC